rnacentral:ncRNA from 1 species
GAUGAAUUGCAGGGGGACCCCUCGGUUGAGAAGGUUAAAACCUGACCCUUUGAACCUGUUUGUUAAGACAAGCGUAGGAAGCAAUUAAAGUCUGAUU